rnacentral:rRNA from 1 species
UAAUACGUAGGGUGCAAGCGUUGUCCGGAAUUAUUGGGCGUAAAGAGCUCGUAGGCGGUUUGUCGCGUCUGCUGUGAAAAUCCGAGGCUCAACCUCGGACCUGCAGUGGGUACGGGCAGACUAGAGUGCGGUAGGGGAGAAGGGAAUUCCUGGUGUAGCGGUGGAAUGCGCAGAUAUCAGGAGGAACACCAAUGGCGAAGGCACUUCUCUGGGCCGUAACUGACGCUGAGGAGCGAAAGCGUGGGGAGCGAACAGGAUUAGAUACCCUGGUAGUCCACGCCGUAAACGGUGGGUGCUAGUUGUGGGUCACAUUCCACGUGAUCCGUGACGCAGCUAACGCAUUAAGCACCCCGCCUGGGGAGUACGGUCGCAAGACUAAAACUCAAAGGAAUUGACGGGGGCCCGCACAAGCAGCGGAGCAUGCGGAUUAAUUCGAUGCAACGCGAAGAACCUUACCAAGACUUGACAUAUAGAGGAAAACUGCAGAAAUGUAGU